AUUGAACGCUGGCGGCAUGCCUUACACAUGCAAGUCGAACGGCAGCACGGGUGCUUGCACCUGGUGGCGAGUGGCGAACGGGUGAGUAAUACAUCGGAACGUACCUUAUCGUGGGGGAUAACGCAGCGAAAGCUGUGCUAAUACCGCAUACGCCCUGGGGGGGAAAGCGGGGGAGCGCAAGACCUCGCGCGAUUAGAGCGGCCGAUGCCUGAUUAGCUAGUUGGUGGGGUAAAAGCCCACCAAGGCGACGAUCAGUAGCUGGUCUGAGAGGACGAUCAGCCACACUGGGACUGAGACACGGCCAGACUCCUACGGGAGGCAGCAGUGGGGAAUUUUGGAAAAUGGGGGCAACCCUGAUCCAGCAAUGCCGCGUGGGUGAAGAAGGCCUUCGGGUUGUAAAGCUCUUUUGUCAGGGAAGAAACACCGGCUCUAACACAGUCCGGGAAUGACGGUACCUGAAGAAUAAGCACCGGCUAACUACGUGCCAGCCGCCGCCGUAA
rnacentral:rRNA from 1 species